GGUAAGAUGGCAUUCUGAGGAGGAGCCUUGUGAUUAGGGAAUGGGAAUAAGCCAGAACAACAGCAACAACAAAAGUAGCUUGUGAGUACCUGGUACCAGAGUGCUGACUUUUUCUUACUUGUGCCUGACAAGUCAUAAUGCCUAAGAACUACCACCAGGGGUGUCACAAUGGAGAGUAACGUACACUAGAAGCACCUAAUGAGGAAUUAAGAGUGGGAUGUGUGCUGGAAAGGGUUCACACAUAUAAUCCCAGCACUUUGGGAGGCUGAGGUAGGAAGAUCGCUGGAACCCAGGAGUUCAAGACCAUCCUGGGUAAGAUAACAGCACCUCAGAGAAGAUUUGGAAAAUAAAUGAGCUGAUGAGAGCAAUUUUCUGCUUCCUGGGCCACCACAGUCUUCUUUGCUGUUUUUGAUUGCAACCAUUUUCAGAGAAGAAUCAACACCAAAGAUUACAUGUAUAUAAAUUACCUAGUAACGAGCAUGACCUCUGUCCAAGCAGAAGGCAAGCAGGGGAGAAGAUUUAGCUGCUCAACUACAGUUAUUCUCUCAACCCAAGCUAAGGUGGUACAAGGAAGAAUGGCAGAUUGGCAGAUUGGGUGGCCAGGAGGCUUCACAGAGACCCCGUUGAGAAUCCAGUAAAACCUAUGGUUCCUCUUUUAAGAAAAAUACAUGGGCACGCACAAAAAAACCUUAGUGUUUGUUUCCCUGGUCUUUGUUUCCACACAUGCCCUGAAGCCCAGCUGUGAUGCAGGUUAAGAAUCUCUACCCUGGAUUCCAAAGUGGUUAGUAGCAUUUCUUG
rnacentral:lncRNA from 1 species